rnacentral:misc_RNA from 1 species
GGAAGGAUCAUUACCAAAUUCAUAACGUAAACGAAAAGGGUUUCGUUAUCCUUUUUGUUUAUGUGAAUCCAAACAAAAAUCUAAGCGUUCUCGUUUUUCAAACGAAAACCGAAUUCAAAGCGAGCCUGGGGAUGAACUCGCUUUGAAGGAAUGCUUUAGAUUUAUAUGUUACCCCCACACACCUGGUUUCAUAGCUCUCACCUCUUUGUGGUUACCAGGACUAGUACUCGAGAAACGACGUUUCUUGAGGAAGCUAAAUGAGAAGUUAUUAACGCUUUGUCUUUUGACCAAAUCAUGAAAACCAAAUGAAAUUGAUGAAACGACAAACACUUUCAACAAUGGAUAUCUUGGUUCCCGUUUCGAUGAAGAACGUAGCAAACUGCGAUAAAUGACGUGAAUUGCAGAAUAAAGUGAAUCGUCGAGUUUUUGAAUGCACCCUGCACCUCGAGGGUCAAAAUCCUUGGGGUAUGCUUGGUUGAGUGUUACCAUAAUAUAUAAAUCAAAAUAAAUUUUUGAAGGUCUCGAACGAGUCCUUUGAAAUUUUACCGAACGCCAUGGCAACCUUAUUAUCAAAAAGGCCGUCACGAGAGGAAGAAAAAAUAGUGACAUUUUGAAACCCUCGAAUGAAGGUCGAUUGUAAUGAGAAGUUGUCUGAAACUUUCAUUAAUAUACCUCAACUCAAGCAAGACUACCCGCUGAAUUUAAGCAUAUUAAUAAGCGGAGGAAAAGAAAACAACAGUGAUUCCCCCAGUAACGGCGAGUGAACAGGGAAAAGCUCAGACUUAAAAUCUGGAAGUCUGGACCCGCAAGGGUUCAACGAAGGCUUCCCGAAUUGUAGUCUUUUGAGCAUUACCCCAUGGUUUCCUUUGUCAUGAAAAAGUUUCCUGGAACGGGACGGCAUAGAGGGUGAGACCCCCGUUUUCUUGACGAAGUGGAGCCAGUACAGUGGGUGGUGUUCAUCGAGUCAGGUUGCUUGAGAGUGCAGCCUAAAAUGGGUGGUAAACUCCACCUAAAGCUAAACAGGCAACGGGAGACCGAUAGCGAAAAAGUACCGCGAGGGAAAGAUGAAAAGUACUCUGAAAAGAGAGUAAAAAGUGCUUGAAAUUGUUGAAAGGGAAGCAUUUGGCCUUAGUGGCUGCCUUGCUCUUGGAGAGUGCAUCUAUGCUGCAAAGCAUGGGUGUUUACUUUCCAGGGGUGGUGGGCUGGCACUGGCUGAGUCCAGGCUUCAAGAAAGCCGAAAGAGCUGAAUCGCUUGAAUGGGUUUGAGCUUCGUAGGUGCAAUGACGUUGGGGCAACCCGACCGUCGCUGUCUGACGGAGCAAACGAUCCAUGAAUUUAACAAGCUCACGCUCACUCGACCAGUAGUUCUUGUCCCUUUCGUGCUCGACUCUUUUCUGCGGUUCUGGCGAGGUUCAACGUGCGAGACCCCCUUGCAUGUAUCCUUUGCAGAUUCCUGUGAGGGAGCAUGCGAGACCUUGCACUUGUGCAUUGUCAAACGAGUCGCCGAAUCAAGAGAGCAACGUGAAGGGAACGCAAAUCUUGCCAGCAAAAUAAGGUUAAAUGUCCCGUCUUGAAACACGGACCAAGGAGUCUAACAUGCACGCAAGCAUUUUGGUGAUGAAAACCAGAAAAUCCAUAAAAUGCGCAACGAAAGUGAAAAAGGUGGCCAGCUGGUUUCAGAAAUGGGGCCGGCCGCACCACUCACCCACUCAGAGGUACGUCCAAAACGAGUGAGAGUGAAAGUGUGCAUGAUAGGACCCGAAAGAUGGUGAACUAUGCUUGGGUAGGACAAAGCCAGGGGAAACCCUGGUGGAAGUUCGUAGCGAUACUGACGUGCAAAUCGUUCGUCAAACCUGUGCAUAGUGGCGAAAGACUAAUCGAACCAUUUAGUAGCUGGUUCCCUC